rnacentral:rRNA from 1 species
ACGCUGGGCGGCAGGCCUAACACAUGCAAGUCGAGCGGUAGCACAGGAGAGCUUGCUCUCUGGGUGACGAGCGGCGGACGGGUGAGUAAUGUCUGGGAAACUGCCUGAUGGAGGGGGAUAACUACUGGAAACGGUAGCUAAUACCGCAUGACCUCGCAAGAGCAAAGUGGGGGACCUUCGGGCCUCACGCCAUCGGAUGUGCCCAGAUGGGAUUAGCUAGUAGGUGGGGUAAUGGCUCACCUAGGCGACGAUCCCUAGCUGGUCUGAGAGGAUGACCAGCCACACUGGAACUGAGACACGGUCCAGACUCCUACGGGAGGCAGCAGUGGGGAAUAUUGCACAAUGGGCGCAAGCCUGAUGCAGCCAUGCCGCGUGUGUGAAGAAGGCCUUAGGGUUGUAAAGCACUUUCAGCGAGGAGGAAGGGUUCAGUGUUAAUAGCACUGUACAUUGACGUUACUCGCAGAAGAAGCACCGGCUAACUCCGUGCCAGCAGCCGCGGUAAUACGGAGGGUGCAAGCGUUAAUCGGAAUUACUGGGGCGUAAAGCGCACGCAGGCGGUUUGUUAAGUCAGAUGUGAAAUCCCCGAGCUUAACUUGGGAACUGCAUUUGAAACUGGCAAGCUAGAGUCUUGUAGAGGGGGGUAGAAUUCCAGGUGUAGCGGUGAAAUGCGUAGAGAUCUGGAGGAAUACCGGUGGCGAAGGCGGCCCCCUGGACAAAGACUGACGCUCAGGUGCGAAAGCGUGGGGAGCAAAC